rnacentral:lncRNA from 10 species
GAAAUUGAUGGUCAAAAACUGUACUCUUGGAAUGUUGAAUGUAGCAGCCCUGUUCAGAAGUGCAUGCUUGUACCCAAAUAUGACUCUACACAUAUGUGGUCUAAAAUCUGUCUCCAAAAACCAGUCUACUGGAGAAACUGAGGUGACUUGGCAUGUACCCACAGGUUUGUGGCACACUAACUGGAUGAGUGGUUACAGAUGAGGAUCACAGAGGGAAGAAUCUGGGAAUCAUGGAGAAAGCUGUAAAGCCCUGACAGAUAAGGUGGUGGGACUCUCAACGCUGACAUCCAGAUUUCUGCUUAGGUAGCUGGAUACACCAAGCUUUUCUAUCGCCUGUGUAACCAAUUCCAAGCAUUCAAUCCUCUCUAUGUGAAAGAGUAAAAGUAGUAUCUUCUUUCCUGGAUGGACCAUGACUGGACCAUGACUGGCAAAGAGAUCCACACUCGCAGUACCUCUCCCACUCCCUCCCCUCCUCCAAACUCUGAAGAUAGUUAUUUGUUUUGUUUUGUUUUGUUUUGUUUUGUUUUGUUUUGUUUUGUGGUCUCCGCUUAACACUAACUGGGAGCAAGAAGUGCUAGAAAUCUAACUGGAAGGUCUGGUUCCUGCAAAAAGUUAAAAUCCAGAGUUUCAGAAGCAGCCUGAAAGUUUUAAUUAUAAUGAAAACAGCCACUAGAUUUUAGCCCUUGUGAGUUCAGCGUUUCCUGUACAUUGCUCAAUUCCUGCAAUACAAUCGCCAUCUACUCCUCGUAUCAGAGGCAACACAUAUCUCAUUCCUUUCUCGGCUCUUCAGUUCUGUAGGAUCCAACGUGCCUGUUGGAAGUACACUGAGGAAUAAUGACUUUAUGUUCAUGACAUUACCUUCUAUGUGCAUUUGAAAAUUCUUGCCAAGCGUUCGGGACUAUGUGGUGUUCUGAUGUUCACUGGGGCACCAGAGGAGGCUAACUUUUUCUUCUAUUACAAUCAAAGCCUAAAAGGAAGAAGAAGCAUUCUCCAAAUAAGGGGUUCAGUUCUUAAAUACAGGAUCAUUCUGGGGCCCACAGUAAGUGCAGAGUGGGUUUGUUUUUUUUCCCUAUUAUUUUUGGUUCGUUGUUUUUCCGGUGGGACAGCUAUACAAGGUAGAAAGCCAUAAUUCCACCCCAGUAUAAUUGGCAGAGCCAUUCUGUGAGGCCCCGGGGUUACAGCACCCACACCCUGGCAACGAAGCUGCGGGCCUUCCUGUUUGCCAGCAUCAGUGGUCAUAUUAUGGCUUGUGUGCCGGCAGCACCCUUUUCUAAUUCUCUUUUAGGAGGAAAUAAUAAAAGGAUCGGAGGAUACUUAUUCAGCGGCUUGCAGAAAAGACCUCAAAAACCUAUUUAUUAUGCUGCGGUCUACAGGGAAUUUGCUUCUGGCGUUUGAUUUCAACUAAGAUAAACUAACUAAUGAAGGAAAAUAAGUUUCAGAAUCAAAGCUCCUCCUUCUCAUUACUACCAGUCUGAGAAAUGUUUAUAAACUCUCUGUCGUGCAUCUGACCUUUAAAUAGGGUCCCUGUGGAGUGCUCUCUCUCUCUCUCUCUCUCUCUCUCUCCCUCUCUGUCACUCACUCACUCCUUCUUGCCUUCUCGCUUACCCCCUUUACUCUAAAUAUCUCCCUUCUUCCAUUCCCAUUAUAUUCAAUGAGCUCUUUUGUUUUUCUUUAUUCCUUUUCUCUUCUCUUUGGCUCUAAUCUCUUCUUCUCCUUGUUCCCUUUCUAUUCUAAGAUCAAAAAAUUAACAUUCCUCUUAGGGACAAAUAGUGCCUUAAGGUGACUUCUAUCAGAAGCUCUUUAUAUCAAUUUUCCCCUCUUCUCUUUGUGAUGGUCUUUUAGUUUCUCUCCACGAUUAGCUUUGACCUCUUCACUGUGUUUCUUCCUUCAGCAUCUCCCUGGUACCAUGACAGUGACUCAUAUUAGAAAAGAGUAUGAUGAUUUUUCUUGAAACUUUCCCUUUAUAUUCCAUACUGGAGUUUGUGGUUUGAGGCACUGGAUAGAUUGAGUUGGCUGGGAUAGGUUGUUGUAAUCAUGACCCCAAUGUAUUCACACAUCUCUGUAUGCAUGACAUUUUGCAAGGUGACUUUCCUGAUUCUCUUACAAGAGGUGAAGUCUAUUUCUCUACUCCUUGACCAGUGCCUUGUUUUGGCCAAUGCAACAAGUGCAAAAGUAAUCCAAACAGAGGCUUGAAAGUGCUUGCACAUUGGUGACUGCUCUCUUGCUGUCAGUAGCCUUCUGCCACUAGGUGACAAGCCCAGGAUGGUGGGCUUCAGGGUGAGGACCUGGUGGUGAGGGCUGAGCAGCCAUCCCAUAUGAGGUCCCAGACAAGAGGUACCUGCAGAAUUGUGACAUGAGCUCUCAGAGGCGUUUUGUGCCCUUUCAGCUUUCUCUUCCUUUAAAUGGAUAUUUGGGAAAAGUUAAAAAUAAGAAAACUUUAAAAAUACUAUUUAGUAUCAUUUAUCAGUGAAAUGACAUUCUUAAUUUCUUGUUGAUAGAUUUCACUUUUAAAUCUUCUUGUGGUUUCAUGAGCAGAGUAACCAAUGGGAUAUAUUUGCAGACAAGCCCAUUUUUGCCUUUUAAUAGUGCAUACAAUCAUGAAAAUGCUAUUUCUUGUUUGAAUUUACUAGGUUUUGGAGUGGGUCACUAGGCAGCACAAUCUAAUAGUGUCUAAAUGAGACAACCCGUGCAAAAUGCAAGACACAGUGUCAGGCACAUACUGGUUGUUCCAUGCUUGUUUGUUGAAUAAAAGCAAGAAUAUUUAACUUAUUCUUGAAAUAGAAAGUGAAAUAUUUUUCCAACUUUGAGAUCCUCUUACAUGGAACUAUAGUGCAUCUAUAUUUAUUUCUUCAUAUCUUUUUCUUAAUCCUGAUGUUAAUUUUGCAUAUGCCGAUUUUUAGACACUCAUUGAAGGCAUAAUUGCAAAAAGGUGGAACUAGGGAUGGAAAAGCAAAGGAGAGAGGGCAGAAAACAAAGUAGGAGAAAGUUUGUACAGUGUAGUCUUGAUUGCUUCUCAGUCUUUUGGCUAAGAUCAAGUGUAUAGCAUGGUCUUGGCUCAGCUACAGAAAGUGGAUGUGAAAUAAUCGUGGCCUUAAAACUACUUGGGAAUGGGUUGGAGUGAAGAAGCUGAUAGAUGUCUUAGAAGAAUCAGGUACCUCUUCUGUCUUUUCAUGUGCACAUGAGGUAGCAUUAAGGCUGUGUUUAACUUCUGUAUUUGGGAGAGCGGUUGAGAAAUACCUACUUAGCUCUGGCAAUAUGACUGAGUUAAGUAAACAUUUCCCAGACUGUUCAUAUCUCAAGCUCCCAAGUUAACUGCAAUUCGAGACCUUAAAGGCAUGUUUCAACAGUUCAUAAUUAUAAAGCACUGAACAUUUAAAUGGAAGACCAAGAACAACAACAACAAAAGAAAAUAUCAAUCAAAUGCUUUUUUUCGAUAUGUAGAUCAGCAAAAUGAAUUACAAGCAUUUCAUUUACACUUCAAAGAUAGAAGAUCUUGAAAUACCUCAAUCACAUGAAACAGAGGUUGGCAAACUACAACCUGCAGAAUAAAUCUGGCCUGCCACCUGUUUUGGUAAAUAAAGCUUUACUGGAACACAAACAUGCUCGUUCAUUUGCAUAUUGUCUAUGGCUGAUUUGAGCUACACUAGCAGAGUUGAGUAAUUCAGACACAAACCAGAUGGCCUGCAAAGCCUAAAAUAUUUACCGUCUGCUCCUUUAAAGAAAAUGUUUUUCCAGCCCCUGACAUAGAAGAAGGUUUGCAAAGAACCAGUGCAAAAGCCCUUUCACCACACCAGAGAGAUUUUGAGGCCAAGCUCCAAAACUCUAAGGGAAAGAGAGGCCAGCUGCUGAGAAAAUACAGGCUCUUUCUACAAGGUGGAAGGAAAGAAUGCUUCUUUUCUGAGAAUCUCAGCAAAAUUCAGAAAGAGCACUCACUGUCUAACUUUGGUGAUGGAUCCUCCCCUAAUCCAAAAACUAUGACAAAGAAAUGCAGAAUUAUAAUGGGUUAGGUCGAGGGCAUGUGUCCACUCCAUGAUGGAAGUGAAGAAGGAGUUAUUUCCAUUCGAUCUAUAUGGAAUAUGUUAUUGAUAAGAGAAAUCUUAUCAAUUUAAUUUUUAAUGGAAGAUAAAUGAAGAGAUGUCGGGCAGGUUGAAAUCAACCAAUGUCCACUCGGUCCGUUCAUGCAUACAUCAUGUCUGGUGGGGUGCCUCCCUGCUUAGGCUUUUAACUUAUCAAUCCUGGGUCACAGUCAUUAUCUCUGGUCAAGUAAAUUCACUUGGAAUGAAACAUGUCUGUGACACCUAUGUUCUCCUUUAUCUUGUACAAAGUAUUAACUCUGUAAACCAGAGAGUAAAAAGAUUCUCUAAAAGAGUCAUUUGCAAAGUGUGAUCCUACAGCAGCAUCAAUACCAGCUUGAAACUUGGUAGAAAGGCAAACAGUUGGAUGCCACCCAGACCUACUAAAGCAAAUCUCCAGGGUGGGACACAGUAAUGUGUUUUCUCAAGCCCUCUAGGUGAUGCUGAAGUACACUAAACCUGAGAACCACUGCUAUUUAGAGAUAGUUCAGAAUCACUUAACCGUUGGUCACUUCGGAACCUCAGAUAGAACCUUUCUCUUAAUAAUCUGCAUGAGGAUCUCUUCUCUGCUCAUUUUGAUUCAACAGGUGUGGGAUGGUGCUUGUUCAUCUGUAUUUUACCAGAGCUCCAGAAGUAAUUUAACUGUGUAUUCAAGUUUAAGGACCACUGUUUGAAAAGAGCAAAAUGUUUAAGGUAAGGCUGGUAGCUAAAUUUCAACAGUGUAGGCAGCCACCACAAUUCAAGAACAGCCCGUUAAUUGGGACAGAAUAGAAACUGACCCCAGGAUUUGAAAGCAGCUGUAGCAGAAGAACUCAAGCCAGGAAGGCUAAUGAAAUGUGAUGACGAUGAAGGAAGCCCUUUCAAAGGAUGUGGUAUAACUGAGCAACACUCAGGAACUGAAGAAGAGAGAGGCUCCUGCAACUCAGCAAUCCUAGAGAUUUGGAAGGGGACAAGGCACAGAACAAAAGAAUGUUUGAGCAAAGGCAUUAGAUAAUCUUGCAAGGUCUAGAGGCAGGGCCCUAGGUGGCAACAGAUUCUACCACCAGGCUACGGACAAUAUGCAUACAGAUAUCUUCCAAAAUAUAGACAUUUUCUGUUAUUUCAGCUCUCCUGACACACGUGGAAAACAACUCACCAGCAGUGUCAUUUUGGGAUAUAGAAAGCAAAGAGACAUAACACCCUUCAACAAGAAUCUUGGCAGCAUCAGUAAUCUCAACACGUAUUAAAAAUACCAGCAAGUGCUUGAUUUCCUGAGGGAUAGUUAUGCAGAAAAGGGUGACCAGCUGUUCUCCCUUUCCCAGAGGAUGUGAGCUUAAGUGGCAAUACAGGGGAUGCAGGUUAUCAUAAGGAGAUACUUCUGCCAAGAAAGUCUUGAGAUGCAGACACUAAAAUGGAUUAUCACGAGAAGCUGAGGAAGGCCAGAGGGAGCUGUCUCCUGGGGUGGGGCCCAUUGCACUCAGAGCUCUUCUUGCUUCCCUGAGAUAGUCCCUGGUAUCUCUGCAAACUCCAUCGAAGGAAGCAGACGUGGAACAGUUUCUAAUACGUGGUUUGCCAAAACAUUGAGGACUUGAGGGAAUGAGGCACAGAGCCUGUUAGGUUUAAAUAAUCCUCUGACGGCUCCCCUGGGAACUCCCUAACAAUCCAAAUUAGAGCAUGCAUGCAAGCAAUCUAUUCUUGAGUAUUUAAUAAAGGAUGUUCCAGUUGGUGGAUUUCCGUGACCCUUCGCUUCUUUUUUCUACCUACUUUUAAUCAUUUCACUGCCUUUUAGCACUUCCACCAAGUGAUGGUAGAUGGAAACUGGAGAGAAAAACUCAAGUCAGUUUUGCUAUAGGUUAGCAGCUCUGCUAUAGGAAGUGGCCUCCUAAAACUCAGAGGGACAAAAGCCUGCUUAAUAAACACAGUAAAGGGAAUGCCGUCUAUCUGAAGUCUCCCCAGAAACAGUGUGGUGUAAGAAAGAUGGCACAGGAUUGACAGUUGGUCAACUUCAUUCUCGUACAAAUUGAAUCUCCGUUCAUCACUGGUAAGACUGAGAUAAAACCCUUUACCUAGUGGGGUCCUGGUAGGAACCAAAUAAGCUAAUAAAUGCUCAGUGUGGAACACUCUCUCCCUGUGCUGUUAGUGCUGCUAAACCACAGAACCCUGGCUCAUCCUUUAAACAGAAUCCUGAAGGACCCCAAAACCAGGUCUAAGGGGAGGAAGAAUAAAUGAAGAAGAAAGGAGCAGUGAAAGGCAGAAAUGUAGGAGCUGAAUCAAUAGCACACAGACUGCUGGGGCUGUUGCAUCUCUAAAGCUAUUGCCUACUACUGGUACUACUACCACCACCACUAUUAUUGGGAGUUUAUUAAGGACUUGCUGUAUGCCAAAGACUCAAGUAUAUGGCCUCUGAUCAUCUAACUAGUAAGUGCAGAUCCUGGAUCAGAACCGAAAUAUGCCUGAAUUCAAAGCCCAUGCAUUUGUUACACCCUGGAUGAUGGUGAACAAAGACUAGAUUCCAGUGAAGGAAUGCUAUGUGUUUCUAACUUUUUUUAACGGUUUUUUUUUUAAUUCUCCAUGCAGACUCUCACUAAGUGAGGUUCCCUAAGCUUGCUCUUACUCCCUGUAAUCUGACAGAGCCUGAAUAUACAACUUGAGUUCCCCCAUGUGUUUGCUCCUGACCUCUAUUUGAUAGAGCAAUCUCUUAAGUAGAAACUGGUUUCUGGACAUCUUCACGCUAGCAUGGUUAUUUAAUACUAUGAAUCUCCCUCUGUACACUGCUUUAACUGCAUCUCACAGAUUUCGAUAAUUUUUGUUCCAUUUUUCUAAUUUCCCUUUGGAUUUCCUCUCUGACUUAUUAUUUAGAUGUAUAUUGUUUAAUUUUCAACAGUUUGGAGAUUUUACUAUUGUCUUCCUGUUAUUGAUUUCUAAUUUAAUUUCAUUAUGGUUGGAAAAUACACUUUGUUUGAUUUUAUUUCUUUUAAGUUGUUGUUUAUUUUAUGACCAAGGAUAUAAUCUAUCUUGAUAAAUGUCCAUGUGUUCUUGAAAGGUAUGUGUAUUCUGUUAUUGUUAGAUAGUAUCAGUUAAAUCCAUUUGUUAGAUAAGUAUCAGUUAAAUCCAUUUGGCUGUGGUAUUAUAUUUGUUCCUCUUUUUCCCUGCUGAUUUUAUUUCUACCUUUUUACUGAUUACUGAAAGAGAUGUCAAAGUCUUUAACUAUAAUUUCUCCUCCUAUUUCUCUUACCUUUAUUUUGACAUUAUGUUGUUAGGUAUAUAAAUGCUUAGGCUAUUAUGUUUAUCUGUGAUUUUAUCAUUAUGUAGUGUCUCUCUUUAUCCCUAGUAAUUUUACUUACUGUGAAGUGUACUUUAUCUGAUAUUUAUAUAGCCACA